UGGGCGCUGAGGGGCACUGAGGGAUCCUGGAGGGUCUGUGGGACACUUAAGGACAGAUGGGGGGCGGAUGCCGGGGUGGGUUCUGUGGAGCGCGGGGCAUGACGGGCGUUGUAGUCCCAGCUCCAAUGGGGCGCUAUCGGGCCGCAGGGCAUGACGGGAGUUGUAGGCAAAAAUAAAAGAUGGCGCUGACAUCAGGCACUGCUCUCAAGACCCCAAUCCCUGCGCUGAUUGGCUGCUGGCUAUGAUUGGCAGGACCAUCGGCAAAUGGGAGACAGAGGAGGCUUUUUCAUCCAAUGAAGAAGAGCUCUAGCAUUUCUGAAACCACCCUUCAAGCCCUCUCAGGCUACUCCUGUUCUGUCAUCAGUCUUCACACCACUGAGCCCUGGGCCAUCAGUCUCUCUGGGUCAUGUGCUUGAGGCCUCCCAAUCCCAUCUUGGAAGAUUUUUGUGUCCUUUCAAGGUCUUUUCAGAUUAAAACAUUGUGGUCAUAAUCCAAUAAAAAUUGAAAUAUUUUUAUAGGCCUGUAGUGGCAGAGAAAGGGACAUAGCCUUUAGAAUGCUCAAGGGUAUUUUUAGAUUUGAUAUAAGAAAGAAAUAUUUGGUGAUAAGGUUGAGAAUUUGUAAACAGCUCAUCCAUAGACAUGAAUACCCCAUUCCAAAAUGUGUUCAAGGUCAGGAUCUUUGACCAUCUGUUCCAGUGGUAGUUGUGCCUUCCCACAGAAACGGGGCUGCAGUAGAUGAUAUUUUAAUGCCAUUCCAAUUUGAAAAACAGAAGAUAAAAAACAAAUUUAUGAAAGUUCUGACACCUCCUCAUGAAAGACUCACCAAGGGGGUCAAUGGCAGAGCUUUCCAUCAUGACCUUGCCAGUUGAGCAUGGGGGGUUCUGCAUUGAGUCUGAGAUUCAUGACGGAAAUCCACAAGGGGCAUUUGGGGAAUGUGCAACAUUUCCCAUGUGAUGCCUAAGAAAGGCCCACAGGAAGGGAAAGGGUGGCACCAUGGUGCUU